rnacentral:rRNA from 1 species
UACGUAGGGGCAAGCGUUGUCCGGAAUCAUUGGGCGUAAAGAGCGCGUAGGCGGUCCGGUAAGUCGGUUGUGAAACUGGGGGGCUCAACCCUCAGAGGCCGACCGAUACUGUCGGGCUAGAGUUCGGAAGAGGCGAGUGGAAUCCGGUGUAGCGGUGAAAUGCGCAGAUAUCGGGAGGAACACCUAUGGCGAAGGCAGCUCGCUGGGACGUUACUGACGCUGGAGACGCGAAAGCGUGGGGAGCAAACAGG